UUGUCGUAAUGAAAUAGAAAAAAAGCCACUCAUGUUAAUAAAGUCCUGAUUUUAAUAUAUAUAUAUAAAAAACUAUUUUAUGCAGCAUUGUCAUAACAUGCCACUUAAAGAUUUUUUUAUUUUUUAUUAUUUUUAUUAUUAUUUUCUUCUGUUUGACAGUGGGCAAUGAUGAGCAUUGCAGUGGCGCGUUGGCGCAAGUCUUUCGGUUCUAGCUGUGCGCGCGACGGUGACGCGAAGAUGUUUAUGUUGUGACAGGCGCGAUUAUUCACGCCACACGCUUGGAACUUAACAAAACGCGCACGUUGCUUCCCCAAACACGGAAACGCGGAUAUUUCUAAAGACGAGGAAAUGUAUUACUACAUCGUUUCUGUAGCUAUAUGGCGUGUUGUCAUGGAGACUGACAGAUAACGAGGUAACAAACUGCCUGGCUAAAGAUUGCCAUGGAAACAUGCAGUUUGAGAGUGAGAUAAGAAAUGAUUGAGAGAAUCAAUGUCUAAGGAACUCUAUAUCCAUCUACAUCCCCUUCCGCUCGUCUCUUUGCUGCCCCCUGCUGCCAUGUCCCAACUUCUCUGCAUUCUAGCCUUUUCCCUGCAGGGAUAUCACAAAGCAUGGCCACAGCAGCAGACAUGACUGUGUGAAGCCUGAUGGUCCAAUUCAUUCUGGUCAAGAAUAACAGUGAGAGGAAAGAGAUGAAUCAACCUACCAGCUAAACUGGACCAACUCACAGUUAAACCUAACACGGAACUAUAACUGACACAUAUAUAAAAAUACAAAGAUCCU
ensembl:lncRNA